rnacentral:rRNA from 1 species
AGGUAACGGAGGCGCCCAAAGGUUCCCUCAGAAUGGUUGGAAAUCAUUCGAAGAGUGUAAAGGCAGAAGGGAGCUUGACUGUGAGACCAACAAGUCGAGCAGGGACGAAAGUCGGGCUUAGUGAUCCGGUGGUUCCGCAUGGAAGGGCCAUCGCUCAACGGAUAAAAUCUACCCUGGGGAUAACAGGCUUAUCUCCCCCAAGAGUCUACAUCGACGGGGAGGUUUGGCACCUCUAUGUCGGCUCGUCGCAUUCUGGGGCGGUAGUCGGUCCCAAGGGUUGGGCGGUUCGCCCCUUAAAGCGGUACGCGAGCUGGGUUCUGAAUGUCGUGAGGCUGUUUGGUCCCUGUCCGUCGCGGGGGGUGGGAAUUUGAGGUGAGCGGUCCUUAGUACGAGAGGACCAG